rnacentral:rRNA from 1 species
AUUGAACGCUGGCGGCAGGCCUAACACAUGCAAGUCGAGCGGAGCGGCGGACGGGUGAGUAAUGCCUAGGAAUCUGCCUGGUAGUGGGGGAUAACGUCCGGAAACGGGCGCUAAUACCGCAUACUAUUAGAUGAGCCUGAGGCGGAUUAGCUAGUUGGUGGGGUAAAGGCCUACCAAGGCGACGAGCCGUAACUGGUCUGAGAGGCUGAUCAGUCACACUGGAACUGAGACACGGUCCAGACGCCUACGGGAGGCAGCAGUGGGGAAUAUUCGACAAUGGGCGAAAGCCUGAUCCAGCCAUGCCGCGUGUGUGAAGAAGGUCUUCGGAUUGUAAAGCACUUUAGGUUGAGAGGCGUUACCAACAGAGUAAGCACCGGCUAACUACGUGCCAGCAGCCGCGGUAAUAC